UACGUAGGGUGCAAGCGUUGUCCGGAAUUAUUGGGCGUAAAGAGCUCGUAGGCGGUCUGUCGCGUCUGCUGUGAAAACUCGGGGCUUAACCCCGGGCCUGCAGUGGGUACGGGCAGACUAGAGUGCGGUAGGGGAGACUGGAAUUCCUGGUGUAGCGGUGAAAUGCGCAGAUAUCAGGAGGAACACCGGUGGCGAAGGCGGGUCUCUGGGCCGAGUAACUGACGCUGAGGAGCGAAAGCGUGGGGAGCAACAGG
rnacentral:rRNA from 1 species